CGGAGGGGCUAGCGUUGUUCGGAAUUACUGGGCGUAAAGCGCACGUAGGCGGACCGGAAGUUGGGGUGAAAUCCCGGGGCUCAACCUCGGAACUCGGCCUUCAAAACUACGUGGUCUUGAGUUCGAGAGAGGUGAGUGGAAUUCCGAGUGUAGAGGUGGAAAUUACGUAGAUAUUCGGAGGAACACCAGUGGCGAAGGCGGCUCACUGGCUCGAUACUGACGCUGACGGUGCGAAAGCGUGGGGAGCAAACAGGAUU
rnacentral:rRNA from 1 species